AUUGAACGCUGGCGGCAGGCCUAACACAUGCAAGUCGAGCGGAUGAAGGGAGCUUGCUCCUGGAUUCAGCGGCGGACGGGUGAGUAAUGCCUAGGAAUCUGCCUGGUAGUGGGGGAUAACGUCCGGAAACGGGCGCUAAUUCCGCAUACGUCCUGAGGGAGAAAGUGGGGGAUCUUCGGACCUCACGCUAUCAGAUGAGCCUAGGUCGGAUUAGCUAGUUGGUGGGGUAAAGGCCUACCAAGGCGACGAUCCGUAACUGGUCUGAGAGGAUGAUCAGUCACACUGGAACUGAGACACGGUACAGACUCCUACGGGAGGCAGCAGUGGGGAAUAUUGGAAAAUGGGCGAAAGACUGAACAAGCCAUGCCGCGUGUGUGAAGAAGGUCUUCGGAUUGUAAAGCACUUUAAGUUGGGAGGAAGGGCAGUAAGUUAAUACCUUGCUGUUUUGACGUUACCAACAGAAUAAGCACCGGCUAACUUCGUG
rnacentral:rRNA from 1 species